UGGGAAUGAGGUGGACUGUCGCUAACUUUCGUUUCGACGAGAGGAGGAGGAAAGUCCGGACUUCAUAGAGCAGGAUGCUGGCUAACGGCCAGGCGGGGUAACCCGACGGAAAGUGCAACAGAAAACAAACCGCCGUGGGCUGCGAAAGCUGCCAGCGGUAAGGGCGAAACGGUGAGGUAAGAGCUCACCCGCAGCUUGGUGACAAGAUUGCGUGGCAAACCCCAUCCGAAGCAAGGCCAAAUAGGGAGACGAUCAUAAGUAACUAAAAUUACUUAUGGUGACACCGGCUCGGUAGUGUCUCCGGGUAGGCCGCUCGAGGCGACUGGCAACAGGCGUCCCAGAUAAAUGACAGUCACCUUUGUCUGUUUCGGCAGCAAAGACACAGAAUCCGGCUUACAACCUCCCCCAAUCA
rnacentral:RNase_P_RNA from 1 species